rnacentral:rRNA from 1 species
GUGCCAGCAGCCGCGGUAAUACGUAGGUGGCAAGCGUUAUCCGGAAUUAUUGGGCGUAAAGCGCGUGCAGGUGGUUUCUUAAGUCUGAUGUGAAAGCCCACGGCUCAACCGUGGAGGGUCAUUGGAAACUGGGAGACUUGAGUGCAGAAGAGGAGAGUGGAAUUCCACGUGUAGCGGUGAAAUGCGUAGAGAUGUGGAGGAACACCAGUGGCGAAGGCGACUCUCUGGUCUGUAACUGACGCUGAGGAGCGAAAGCGUGGGGAGCGAACAGGAUUAGAAACCCGGGUAGUCC